UACGACUACAUAUCAGGCAUAUCAAUAAGCGGAGGAAAAGAAACUAACAAGGAUUCCCUUAGUAACGGCGAGUGAAGCGGGAAGAGCUCAAAUUUGAAAUCUUCAAGGGUCCUACCUUUACGAAUUGUAGUUUAAAGAAGUGUUUUCUGUUAGAGGAGUAGGUAAAAGUUCCUUGGAAUAGGGACAUCAUAGAGGGUGAGAAUCCCGUAUUUGGUUAUUCUUUCUAGCUGUGUGAUACACUUUCAAAGAGUCGGAUUGUUUGGGAAUGCAGUCCAAGAUGGGUGGUAAAUUUCAUCUAAAGCUAAAUAUUGGCGAGAGACCGAUAGCGAACAAGUACCGUGAGGGAAAGAUGAAAAGAACUUUGAAGAGAGAGUUAAACAGUACGUGAAAUUGUCAAAAGGGAAGCGUUUGACACCAGUGUUGUUUAGUUCGAAAAUCAAUUCAAUAGUGUCUUGAUUUUACGUUAGUAUUGACCUUCAUCAGCUUGCUUCCUCUUUUCUCAGAAUCUUCUUGAAUGCACUUUUCAGUUAACAAGUCAACAUCAAUUUCUUUUGUUGUAAAAGGGUAUUUGGAAGGUGGCUUUCUUUUCGGAGAAAGUGUUUAUAGCCUUAUACCUCUACAAUCGGAGAGAUUGAGGUCUGCAGCGUAGAUCCUUCGGGGCUAGAUACACUUGUGCUAAGUUAUAGCUUUUCAUAGACAACUUGUUGACUAUGUUUAGUCAUGUAGCUUACCCGCUUGUGCUAUUUUACCUACGCUUAGGAUGUUGAUCUACAGAGCGAGAGU
rnacentral:rRNA from 1 species